rnacentral:rRNA from 1 species
GACGAACGCUGGCGGCGUGCUUAACACAUGCAAGUCAGGGGGUGGGGUAACCCACCACCGGCGAACGGGUGCGUAACACGUGAGCGACCUGCCCUGGAGUGGGGGAUAGCCGGCCCAACGGCCGGGUAAUACCGCAUACGACGCGUCGGGGGCAUCCCCGGGGCGUGAAACCCGAGAGGGACUCCUGGAGGGGCUCGCGGCCUAUCAGCUAGUUGGCGAGGUAACGGCUCACCAAGGCGAUGACGGGUAGCUGGCUGAGAGGAUGGCCAGCCACAUUGGGACUGAGAGACGGCCCAGACUCCUACGGGAGGCAGCAGUGGGGAAUCUUGCGCAAUGGCCGAAAGGCUGACGCAGCGACGCCGCGUGCGGGAUGACGGCCUCGUU